GACGAAGGGUGCAAGCGUUCAUCGGAAGUACUGGGCGUAAAGCGCGCGUAGGUGGUUUGUUAAGUUGGAUGUGAAAGCCCCGGGCUCAACCUGGGAACUGCAUCCAAAACUGGCAAGCUAGAGUAUGGCAGAGGGUGGUGGAAUUUCCUGUGUAGCGGUGAAAUGCGUAGAUAUAGGAAGGAACACCAGUGGCGAAGGCGACCAACUUGGCUAAUACUGACACUGAGGUGCGACAGCGUGGGGAGCCAACAUGAAUAGAUACCCCUGUAGUC
rnacentral:rRNA from 1 species